UGACGGUAACUUACCAGAAAGGGACGGCUAACUACGUGCCAGCAGCCGCGGUAAUACGGAGGGUGCGAGCGUUAAUCGGAAUUACUGGGCGUAAAGCGCACGUAGGCUGUAUUGUAAGUCAGGGGUGAAAUCCCACGGCUCAACCGUGGAACUGCCCUUGAUACUGCAAGACUAGAAUUCGGGAGAGGGUGGCGGAAUUCCAGGUGUAGGAGUGAAAUCCGUAGAUAUCUGGAGGAACAUCAGUGGCGAAGGCGGCCACCUGGAUCGAUAUUGACGCUGAGGUGCGAAAGCGUGGGGAGCAAACAGGAUUAGAUACCCUG
rnacentral:rRNA from 1 species